AUUGAACGCUGGCGGCAGGCCUAACACAUGCAAGUCGAACGAGUGGCGGACGGGUGAGUAAUGUCUGGGAAACUGCCCGAUGGAGGGGGAUAACUACUGGAAACGGUAGCUAAUACCGCAUACCAUCGGAUGUGCCCAGAUGGGAUUAGCUAGUAGGUGGGGGAACGGCUCACCUAGGCGACGAUCCCUAGCUGGUCUGAGAGGAUGACCAGCCACACGGGAACUUAGACACGGUCCAGACUCCUACGGGAGGCAGCAGGGGGGAAUAUUGCACAAUGGGCGCAAGCCUGAUGCAGCCAUGCCGCGUGUAUGAAGAAGGCCUUCGGGUUGUAAAGUACUUUCAGCCGGGAGGCGUUACUCGCAGAAGAAGCACCGGCUAACUCCGUGCCAGCAGCCGCGGUAAUUC
rnacentral:rRNA from 1 species